rnacentral:rRNA from 1 species
AUUGAACGCUGGCGGCAUGCCUUACACAUGCAAGUCGAACGGCAGCACGGGGGCAACCCUGGUGGCGAGUGGCGAACGGGUGAGUAAUGCAUCGGAACGUGCCCUGAAGUGGGGGAUAACGUAGCGAAAGUUACGCUAAUACCGCAUAUUCUGUGAGCAGGAAAGAGGGGGAUCGCAAGACCUCUUGCUUUGGAAGCGGCCGAUGUCGGAUUAGCUAGUUGGUGGGGUAAAGGCCUACCAAGGCGACGAUCCGUAGCGGGUCUGAGAGGAUGAUCCGCCACACUGGGACUGAGACACGGCCCAGACUCCUACGGGAGGCAGCAGUGGGGAAUUUUGGACAAUGGGCGCAAGCCUGAUCCAGCCAUGCCGCGUGAGUGAAGAAGGCCUUCGGGUUGUAAAGCUCUUUCGGUGGGGAAGAAAUCGCAUCUCCUAAUAUGGGGUGUGGAUGACGGUACCCGCAUAAGAAGCACCGGCUAACUACGUGCCAGCAGCCGCCGUAACAC